GGGGGUCUAUCGGAAACAACCUCUCUACUUCUCUUGAGGUAGUGGUAUGGUCUGCGUACGCUCUACCCUCCCCAGACCCCACUAGGUGGGAAUACACUGGGUAUGUUGUUGUUGUUGUAUGAUUAUGCAAACACUAUCUUGGGCAAAAACUGUUAAGAAAAAAUAAAAAAAUUAAAAAUAUUUUCGCUGCGGGCUUUGGUGGAUAGACGACCCAUGAAUCAAAUUAAGUAUGAAUGUGAGCUAUCUUGCCCAAACAGCCAUGCUCUAAUCAGCCUGUGUUUCCUUUAUUUUUCCCCUCCACCGAAGCCCUGAUAGAGUUAGAACUCCCUCAGGUUGGCAAUGCUUUGGAAAGGGUUAGUAUUUCAGGUUUCUCUGUCAAUCCAGAUACUUCCUCUUGCCCUCCAAGGUGUGAAAUUGGAUUGGAUGGGUUGCCGUAGGAACAUUUGUUUGAGGAGGGCUUACAAGCCUUGGAUCGGGCCAGCACACUCUUGGGUGAAGGUUUACUUAGCCUAAGGGGAAGAAAGAUCUGCAAAUUCAAUUGGAUUCUCAAGCGUUAGAGAUUACUGCCCUGAUGGCUGGUUGAUUUAGUUAAUCUCUGGCUUCUAUAUGUUUUGCAACAUUUCUUGCCUAAUUGAACUGUUUCACAUAUUCUGAUUUAUAUUUAGCACUUUGAGCAUGAACCUGGUCAUGUGCAUUUAGGUUAAUUUUGGUCUGGUUUAAAAUUAGAGUUUCGUUGUUUAAAAUUGAGGAUACUAGAUCCGUUCCUUUGUUAUGUUGUCAGAGGUAUAUUGUUGUAUAUCUAUACUUUGUGUCUAAAGUUACAGGUUCAGAUGAACACAACCAAAAGGCUUCAUCUGCUUCAGCUCUUGUCUAUUCUGGCUUUAUCAUUUUGAUUUUCUUAAUGCUGAAGAUAAUUGUACUAUUUUUGUAUCCAAACUAAUGUAUGAGCUUCCAAUUGAUUGCUCUUUGGCUAAAUAUGUGUCAAAUAGAAUUCUUAGCUACUUGAUGAGAAGCUAUUCUGCUAUACUAAAGUUGUGUUUAAGCUGCCCUGGACGCUACAAGUUAAACGAGAAAAAUGGACUUGUGGUUGUAUAGAAGUUGGGUAAAGUUGAUGAGAAAGCAGAGGCAGAAGAGGCAGAGGAUUAUGAGAAACUGGCAAAGGAGCUAACAAAUGCUUCUCCUUUGGAGGUCAUGGAUAAGGGCUCUUGAGAAAUUUGGGAGUGAUAUUGCUAUUGCUUUCAGGUAAUUUUUCAGUUCAAUAUUCCAUAUUUAGAAGAUUCAGCUCAUGACGAGACGGACCCAGGAUUUAAACUUAAAUGAGUUCAACUAGUGUUAAAGUUAUGGGUUCGAACUUAAUAUUUUUCAGAUUUUAGUAGGGCUUUAUGUGCAUAUAUCUAUACUUUGUUUAGUCAUUAUUAUUUGUUGUUUCUUGUACUUUGAUUAUUGUAGUAUUUUGUUUUGUUAUGCUUUCACUUUCGUUACUUCUUUUUAUGGACUGUUUUGGACUAUUUUUCCUUGAGCCGAGGGUCUAUCGAAAACAACCUUUCUACCUCUUCGGUGGGGGUAACGUUUGUCUAUACUCUACCCUCCCCGUACCUCACUUUGUGGGACCACAGGUGUUAAACUAAUGCACUGGCCAUAUUGGACGAUACAACACUGAUACAGUUUGUUAAGUAUCCCACAUCGGAAAAGGGAUGGGUACUUGGUCUCCUUAUAUGGACUUGGGCAAUCCUCUCCUCAUGAGCUAGCUUUUGAGGUUGAGUUAGGCCCAAGUUCCAUUCUUUACAUGGUAGUAGAGCCAGGUUCUUGAGGGAUCUGUGAGAUGAAUUCUGAAAACAACUUUUCCUAAAUAGCUCCUCCAUGGUGAAAAUUACCAUGUUCGGGCAGUAAGAAUAGCUCCUCCUGUCUUUGAUGGUGAAAUCCUCGAUGGUGAAAAUUACCAUGUCUGUCUUUGAUCGUGAAAAUUACCAUGGUGAAAUCCUCCAUGGUGAAAAUUACCAUGUCUGUCUUUGAUGGUGAAAAUUACCAUGUUUGGGCAGUAAGAAUAGUUCCUCCCGUCUUUGAUGGUGAAAAUUACCAUGUUUGGGCACUAAAAUGAAUUCUGAAAACUUUUUUCAAAUAGCUCCUCCUAUCUUUGAUGGUGAAAAUUACCAUGCUUGGGCAGUAAGAAUGGAGACUUAUCUUGAGGCUCCCAAAUAGCUCCUCCUGUCUUUGAUGAUGAGAUGAAAAAUUGUCUUUGAUGAUGAAAAUUAUCAUGUUUGGGCAGUAAGAAUGGAGACUUAUCUUGAGGCUUUAGAUCUUUAGGAGGCCGUGGAGGAGGAUUAUGAUGUUCUUCCGCUGCCGGAUAAUCCCACGGUGACCCUGAUCAAAAGUUAAAAGGAAAAGAAGCAGUAAGAAUAGCUCCUCCUUUCUUUGAUGGUGAAAAUUACCAAGAAGCAGUAAGAAUAGCUCCUUCUUGUCUUUGAUGGUGAAAAUUACCAUGUUGGGGCACUAAGAUGAAUUCUGAAAACUUUUCUCAAAUAGCUCCUCCUGUUUUUGAUGGUGAAAAUUACCAUGUUUGGGCAGUAAGAAUGGAGACUUAUCUUGAGGCUUUAGAUCUUUGGGAGGCCGUGGAAGAGCAUUAUGAUGUUCUUCCGCUGCCGGAUAAUCCCACAGUGACCCAGAUCAAAAGUCAAAAGGAAAAGAAAAUCAAAAAAGAAAAUUACCAUCUUUGGGUAGUAAGAAGGCUUUAGAUCUUUGGGAGGCUGUGGAGGAGGAUUAUGAUGUUCUUCCGCUGUCCGAUAAUCCCACGGUGAUUCAGAUCAAAAGCCAAAAGAAAAAGAAAAUCAGAAAAUCAUAGGCAAAAGCAACUUUGUUUGCUAGUGUGUCUCCAACAAUUUUCACGAGAAUUAUGGCCUUUAAAUCAACAAAAGAAAUUUGGGAUAAAGAUAAAGGAAUCUGAGACCGUCAAAGAGUACUCAGACCGACUUCUUAGCAUUGUUAACAAGGUAAGAUUGCUUGGCACAAAAUUUAAAGAUUCAAGAAUUGUUGAAAAAAAUUCUUGUUACAGUGCCUGAAAGAUACAAAGUAUCAAUUAUUACCUUGGAAAACACGAAAGACCUGUCCAAGAUUACUUUGGCAGAAUUGUUAAAUACAUUGCAGGCGCAAUAGCAAAGGAGGCUUAUGAGGUAGGAUGGUAUGAUUGAAGGAGCUUUGGCAGCCAACUCCAAGACUCAAAUCAAGGGUAAUAAUUCAAGAGUGGCAAAAUAGGUCAUCCUCUAUUUAAAUAUUGGAAGAAACCAGAUGCACAAUGCAAGAUCUGCAAUCAGCUUGGCCAUGAAGCUGUGAUUUGCAAAAACAAAUCUCAAAAA